rnacentral:rRNA from 1 species
UACGAAGGGGGCUAGCGUUGCUCGGAAUCACUGGGCGUAAAGCGCACGUAGGCGGCUUUCUAAGUCAGGGGUGAAAUCCUGGAGCUCAACUCCAGAACUGCCUUUGAUACUGGAGAGCUUGAGUCCGGGAGAGGUGAGUGGAACUCCGAGUGUAGAGGUGAAAUUCGUAGAUAUUCGGAAGAACACCAGUGGCGAAGGCGGGACUCUGGGCCGAUACUGACGCUGAGGAGCGAAAGCGUGGGGAGCGAACAGG